UACGUAGGGUGCGAGCGUUGUCCGGAAUUAUUGGGCGUAAAGAGCUCGUAGGCGGUCUGUCGCGUCGAUCGUGAAAACUUGGGGCUUAACCCUGAGCUUGCGGUCAAUACGGGCAUGACUGGAGUUCGGCAGGGGAGACUGGAAUUCCUGGUGUAGCGGUGAAAUGCGCAGAUAUCAGGAGGAACACCGGUGGCGAAGGCGGGUCUCUGGGCCGAUACUGACGCUGGAGGAGCGAAAGCGUGGGGAGCGAACAGG
rnacentral:rRNA from 1 species